rnacentral:lncRNA from 1 species
GAUUCUCUCAUAAGCCAUGAUGCUAAAUGUAAAGUGGUUAUUAAAUUGUUGAUAUUCCGUGAUCUAUUAUAGUCUGCACUGAGCGAAUUGUCACUGGUGUGUUAUGUAGAACAUGCUUAAUAGGAUCAAAGAAAUCAUGAUAUAUAUCUUAACUCAGACAUCCAUUUCAAUUGCAUAUCCCAUUUUGCAUAGCAGGGUUAUGAAAAUCCACAAGAAGCGACUGGGGUUAUCAUAUGUGCCAAUUUCCAUUUAGCUAAUAUGCCUAAUUUUAGGAUGACUGACCCUUUUAGUCUAGUUCAUAUAAUUUUUCUCUCAGGAGCUAGAGGAAAUGCAUAUCAGGUACAUCAAUUAUUAGGUAUGCCCACUUUUUGACUUACUGAUAAUAAUGUUAUUAUUUUGUGCUGCUUAACUAACUUGCAGUGAUUUGGCAGAUGUUCAAGAUUCCUUUUUUCCCCAUUGCCUCAAAAUUUGGUAUGAGUUCAAUUAAGUUCCUGCAAUAUACUGCUGCUUCAUUUAGUCAUUUCUUUUUUCCCAGAAAGAUUUGAAAAUACUUUGUUUUAUUCAUUAUGUUCAUUGACCAAGUUUACUUACUUCCGUGGUCUGAUUUUUUUCUUGCUCUAGAUGGUCAAUCUUUUUUUUGUUUUUUAAACAAAAGUAAAUUUAGUUCAUGCACUAGGUAGUCAAUGUUAAAGCAUGAAUGGUUUAAUGUGCAUUUCUUCAUGAUAUUCGGUGUAUUUAUCACUUGGUUAUAUUAUUUUCUGGCUUAUUUGGGUUUCAUUGAGGCGUAGUUGCUGCUAUAUUCAAAGUGGCCGAUUUUGUCAGAGAAUCAGACAGUUGAGCUGGUCUAAAAGAUGAGUUCAAAUCCUUAACAUAAAAAAAGAAAAGAAAGAAAUGAGCUAGUUCCCAUCCUGAGCUGGAAGAUGAAGUGACCCCAUUCAAAGAAAUGUGGUAGUGGUGGACAGGUGGAGUGCCUAGAAUGGAAGUUAGAACAACAUACAGGUAAAUUUUGUUCUGAAGAUGGAGUAAAAGUUGGAAAUAGAGCAGAAAAUUGCUGAUGAUUUUUCUUCCCAAGACAAACUUUACCUACCGGAAAUUAGAAAAAGGUCAGAAGAAAGUUGAUCUUUUUCCUUAUCUCCCUACCUAUAUGUCUUUUAGCUCCGAGUACUUGAAUUUUUCUUUUAAGAAAAUGUCUCUUUUUCGACCACUUGAAUUUUCUUUUAAGAACUGAACACAUGCAUAUCUUCUCUGGAAGCUGAUAUUUUUGUUUUUUAUGUAUCUGGCUGUAUUGUAAGUUUCUCUUCCUUAUUGAUUGGCUCUGUCUUUAAGAUUAUGCGGUUCAUGUGAUAUCUCUAUGUACUUGUCCUAAUACAACUUGAACUUAUUCUUGAUAGAAGUAUUGCAAAAUUAUAGGAUCUGGAUAUUUGAAGUUUUACCAAUCUGCCUGCUAAUGAUCAUCCACUAUUGCUGUUGUGUCUUCUGUGCAUUUCCAAGUUAAAGGAUUUGUUGUCAAAUUCCAUUUCGUUCUGCAAUAAUUGAUUCAAUUACUAAUCAUAGUCUUCAAUAUCUUAUGCUCCUUUUUGUAAGAGAUUUGCAGUCACCCAGUAAUUCUAGAAGAAAUUUGAUUUGGGGUAGCAUAGCUAGUGGUAGAGCUAUUCCAGCAUGCCAGGUCUUUGGUUGAUCAUGGAAAAUUUCCAUUUGAGAGCUAUUCCAGCACGCCAAUAGGUCUUUUGUUGAUCACGCCAAUAAGAAUAAUUGCCAGAGUUGGUCAGUGACUCCACAGUGCAAUAAAAGGUGACUGUUUUUCUCUGGUCCUUCCAACACAAAUAACAUCUUGAACCUAGCUUAAUCCUCCUCCUCUUCAAAUUAUCUUGGGUCAGACAGGCUUCUUUGACAACAAGCCAAACAAAACAAGCCACUGUUUAAGGAAUUUCCAGUCUUCAUGUGUUCCAAAAUCCAAGAAUUAACUUGUUCUCCUAAUACAAGUGAGUGCAUAAUAGGUAGAUUUAAUUGUAUAGUUGCCUUUGCUAUGCCCUCUGCCAUGACAAUAUGUCCUCAUGUUUAUAAAUGCAUUUUAAUUGAUCCAUUACUCUUACAAAAUUUAGCUACUCUGUUGAUUUCUCAAUCAAUUGGUAGUGUUCUAAAGCUCAGGUUUAAUCACUGUUGACCUCAUAGUUUGCUAACAGCUGUCCCCUUGUUACUGACAGGUUGAAGAUGUAUGGGGAUAAUGCUUUAGAGACCCUUCCCAUUCCUCACUUUAAGACUGGUUGGCACUGAAGGAGGGCUAAAAAGCUCUGUUUGACCUCUAUAUACUAAACCCAGAUAGUGUAGUUACCCCUAUUUUAAAAAGAGUCAACCCGGUGCAAUAAGCUGGGCUAUACGCAGGGUCUGGGGAAGGGCAGGACCAUAAGGGUCUAUUGUACGCAGCCUUACCCUGUAUUUCUGCAAGAGGUUGUUUCCACAGCUCGAACCCGUGACCUCCUGGUCACAUGACAACAACUUUAUAGGCUCCCCUUCUAAUCUGAGACAAAACUUCAGGUGAGUGGGUGUUCUCCAGUAUAGAUUACAUCCCCUUUCUGCACCUUCCUGUCCCAUAAUAUAAAAAUUCCCUGAUCUACCAUUUGCCUCUAAAAAUCUGGGCACUGUCUCAGAGGGAGGCUCGGUGAAAUAGACAUGUCUGUGAAGAUGCAGGCUACCUGCACCUGCACUGAAAGACCCUAUGAAGCUUCACUGUUCCCUGGGAUUGGCUUUGGGGAUUUCCUGCACAGCUUAGGUGGAAGGUGAACAAGGCAUCCUUCCGGGGUGGGGAUGGGGGGGAGCCAUCAGUGAGAUACCACUCUGGAAGGGCUAGAAUUCUAACCUUGUGUCAGGACCUACAGACCAAGGGACAGUCUCAGGUAGACAGUUUCUAUGGGGCUUAGUCCUCCCAAAAGGUAACGGAGGCUUGCAAAGGUUUCCUCGGGCCGUCCAAUCUUUUGAUUAAGGGGGAUGAGCCAUCUGCUAAGGAUUACCUUAAGGCUAGUAAUAAACUCACUUCCGAUGAGCAGGAAUGUGUUUGCCCACAUAUCUUUAACAAAAGGUUCGAUAUUUCCUUCUAGCUUUGUUUCCUAAAAGCAGUAGAUGUUUGCUUUCCAUUGUGAGCUAAACUUUUCUUCACCCUUCUUUUUUGUCCUGCUAUUUGGCCCCUUUCCGUUCCAUGUGAUGAUGUUCAGCUUCAUGGAUAAUCAGUGUAUGAGAAUUUCUCCUGCUCCAUGUCCCGCUGUCCUUGUUAUUAACAUUAAAUUUCAGGAUUUUAGUUCCUUCAUACUUCUGCAUUUUGGGGUCAUACAACUGACAAUGCAUACUUUGGCUUGUUUAUCUUGCUUUCUUUUGUACAGUUUCAUGAAGAGAGAUAGAUCUUACAUCUCACAGUCUCGGAAAUCCAACACAUAAUGCUUGCACAUUUC